CCCUUAGAUGUCCUGGGCUGCACGCGCGCUACACUGGAAGUUACGGAUUGAGAUACUACCUUGUCCGAAAUGGUCCGGGUAAUCACCUAAAAGCUUGUCAUAAUUGGAAUGGAUUAUUGUAACUAGUAAUCCUGAACGAGGAAUUCCUAGUAAGUCCCAGUCAACAGCUGGUACUGAUUACGUCCCUGCCCUUUGUACACACCGCCCGUCGCUACUACUGAUUGGACGUUUAAGCAAGAUUUUUAAACACUGACAGUGUGUAGUUCACGCUAUACUACAGUGAGGAGAAGAAGAUCGAGCUUACUUGUCUAGAGGAAGUAAAAGUCGUAACA
rnacentral:rRNA from 1 species